CGUAAUUAAAAUAAUACUGUUACCUUAAAAAUAUUUUGCGCCGUACGAUACUGCAUUUCAUAAUGAUCAACCGUUGCCAUUAAGGAAAAGAAAGAAAGAAAGAAAGAAGAAGAAGAAAAGAAAAAAGAAACCCAUCGAUGAGAGUACAAUCGUCGUUGGUAGAAGAAGAUUCACAAUGAUACGAGGAAUUUACAAACAAUUGCAUUGAGUAUUAAACGGGAUUACUUUUUUCUAUCGAAAUCAAAUCAAGACCAGUUAAUAGGAAGUUCCAUACUAUGGAAUUUGCCCUUGGGCAUAUCUUUCUCUACGUAUAGAUGAAAUCACAACCGUAGAUAGACAAACGGAAAUAAGAAAGUUUCUUAUCCCUAUGAAGAUUUACGAGUCAACUUUUUGUUUAAGGUGAUUUUUAUGAUCACUUAGAACUGACGAUCUUUCGGUCAAGCCGUCUGCUGUUGCUUCCUGCCAGGUCAAAGACCUAACAGCCCUUAGAAGGCCGUCUUCAGACUUUCGGUGAAAGUACAUACAUAUAUUUCGUCCUUGAACUGGAAGCCUUCGAACGAUCGACGCAGUGAAAUAUUUCAUGGUGUAUCAUAUAAUCUUCGAAAGGAGAAACAUGGUAUAAUUACGAAGAUACAUUUCCCUUUUUACAAAAAUAAGCUCUAAUGGAAAUGUUCCAUGAACGAAAAAGUUUCAUGUCUUUUCGAACAUUCAUAUAAAUAUCUCAAAUCUUUUCUUUUUUUUUUUUUUCCAUUUUUGUGACAAAUGAAAUAAUUCUUAUUGAUUUGACAAAUUUUCUUGCGUCAC